UGUAACUUGAAAAAUUAUUCUAAAAAUCCCUUUAAACACAUAGACACACCAAUGGCAAAAACUUCAUUGUUUCCUUCCAUGAUGAUUUUAUUUCUCAUAAUAUCUGCAACAGGUUUUGUGGAUGCUUGUGACUACCCAUGCCAUGGCCGAUUUGAUUGUCAUAAUCUGCACUGUAACAAUCGUUGCUUAAAGCGAUGCAUUAACUUUUGCUGCCUUUGUGAGUGCAGUGGAAAUGAAAAACCUGAAAUAAAGAUGUAACAAUUCCAUGCCUUUGUUUUGAAUUUAUUAGUAAUAAGAGAAGUUGAAGUAAUAACAUGUUCAUUCUUCUUCAUCAA